rnacentral:rRNA from 1 species
GAUUUCUGGCUUGACGCGCUUGGCCCGCUUCGGUUACGAAUGUGAGUGCUGAUGCGCGUCUACCAUCCUUCCAGAAAACGGCAUCUGCCUUCACUGGUUUGGUGUCGCGAUCUGGAUCUAUUACUUUGAAAAAAUUAGAGUGUUUAAAGCAGGCGUUUGCUGUGAAUACAUUAGCAUGGAAUAAUAAUCUAGGACUUUGGUUCUAUUUUGUUGGUUUCUAGAGCUGAAGUAAUGAUUGAUAGGGAUAGUUGGGGGUGCUAGUAUUCCGUGGCCAGAGGUGAAAUUCUUGGAUUCACGGAAGACUAACUUAUGCGAAAGCAUU